CAUUGGAAAGCUAAACUGGGAAACAGCGUUAGCCUUUUGAGCUAAAGACUGGUGGUCCCCGCCCACCUCCAAUGA
rnacentral:tRNA from 1 species